rnacentral:pre_miRNA from 1 species
ACAACAUUCGGACCGUCAGUCUACCGAGCAGUAUCACCCGCUCGGUAGAUCUUCCCUUUGUCGU